CCCUUCUCUGUUUAUGCUUAUGCAUUGGUGGCUUGUGUGAUUAUGGUAUAGCUCUUAUCUGUUGAACAUAUACUAUUUUGUUGAUUGAAAGUGUUUAGUGUUAAUGCUGUUUAAUCUUAAGUAAGUUCAAACAUGCUGAUGACUUCCAUACUGCUACUACUAUUUUAUAAUUUCCUUGAUGGUUGCCUGUGAGCUGAUAACUGGAGGUGGUAUCAUUUGUGGGUUGACUAGAGCAUGGCUGGAAUAUCACUACUGCUUGUGUAAUACUGGUUGGCCUGAGAUUAUUCCCUGGACCCUAUGUAACUCCUAGUGACAUGUUAAUUAGUACUGGCUGUUUAUGGUGAUGACUCAAUCAAAUGCACAAAUGCUACUGGUCACUCUUUGCUUAAUUCAUACAGUGAUGUCUCUAAUUGGAUAGUUAAUUAUCCAGGCAUGUGUGGCUGGUUGUACUUCUUUUACUGUUGAAACUGAACACACACUACAGCAUGCACUAUUGAGUUGAGGUUUGGUUUGGGCCUUGACUAUGAUAUAUAUUGAUGCCCAGUUUAAUUCAUGGUUGAAUGUAAGCAAUGAAAUAGAAGUACUAUUGCUGGAUGAUUUAUUUGUCGAAUUCUGGUGAGCUUAUGGUGUGCUUAUUAAGCUCUGAUUAAUGAAGAUGCUUACUGGAUACUUUGUAUGAUGGCUAGCUUGUGCUUAAGCUGAUGUUCUUACAGCUUAGGUUUAAUGUCUUUUCUUCCUUUACAUAAGUGCCCAUGUGCUUUCUAAUUAUCACAUCUAUCCUGUGGUGCCUCAGAUGAGUGUGCACAGGAUACAUAUGUAUGAAUAGGAUCUGGUGCUGUAGGUGCUUGUGUAAAAUGAGAAAUAGGCAGUGAUCAUAGCUGUAGGGUCAGAUGAUGCAAUCUGUCCAAUCCAAGCCCUUGGUGAUGCUUGAGUUGAUUUUGAUGGACAGAUCUAUGCUUGCUCCAGCCGAUGAUGCAAAGGCUGAGGCAAAAACUUGGAUAAGAACAAAUACUACUUGUGCCUCUUUUAUUCUCUAUGAUGAUUUUGCAUAGCACCUCUAUGCAAGGCUGAGAGAAAAAUCCAUCUCUCCAUCCUCCUAGAUGAAAAUCUAGUGGAAGGUUGGUUUGAUGGAGUGUUGUGUAUUCUUUUCUUUAUUUCCCUUGAUCCUAAUUGUGCAAGUUAGUAUGCUGAGAUGCUUAUAUUAAAUCGAUGGAUCAACCUGUUGUAGCAAAGUGGAAUAGCUGGUGAUGUUGAUCUUGAUCUACUGCUUGUUUGGCUACACCUCCUCCUAGCUCCUGCUUGAUCCUGUUCUAGGAUACCACCAUACUGGUCCUUGGUUGAAUGAACUAGGAUAUCUCCUGAGAUGGUUUGAUGACCUGGAAGAAGAACAUCUAUUGUUUCUUGUGUUCUUGAUUGGGAUCUACUGGAAUUUUUACUAGGUUGGUUUCAAGGAUCUCCAAAACAUAGCAGAGUGGUGUUCUUGCGGUGCUUUGCUUGGUUGAGGUGCCAAGAUGAAUGAGAGCUGCUUAGGCAGUGCUUGGCCGGCAAGAAGCUGCUUUUAUAUGGUCGGCUGGUGUUGCCCUUUGGUCGACAGCACGACCAUGCAUUCUGUGAGUAAGCUGCUAGCAUGUAUGGCUGCUGGUUGUGAUCUAGUACGUCUCCUCUUGAGGAUCAGUACGACCACAAAUAUCUCAUUUUAUUCUUUGUUUAACCUUGACACAUGGUGUUGCCCUUUCCUUUUCUGUUUGUGUUUGUUUUGCAGAUGCUUGAAGAUAGUCAAGACGAUCUGAAGAUAAAGUCUUCAAGUUUUAGUUUAUAGGAUUAAUUCUUUUCUUGUAAUAGCUGAUUUGUAAUCUUCAUUCUCUUUUUCAAUUAUUCACUUUCUGUAAUGUUUUGUAAUAAUUAUAAUUCAAAUGAAUAUUGUAAAUGACAAUGUAUAUUGUGUGUUAAUCAAUAAAGCUUAGGUUUUACCUAA